AUGAUGGACUAUAGGACAGGACUGCUGCUUCUAACUAUCUGCUGGGCAGGUGUUGAUGGUCAGACUCUGACACAAUCUGAACCAUCAGUUAAAAAACCUGGAGAAUCCCACAAACUGACCUGUGCAGCUUCUGGAUUCACAUUCAGCAGCUAUGACAUGAACUGGAUCAGAAAGGCUCCUGGAAAAGGACUGGAGUGGAUUGCAACUAUCACUACCGACAGUAGUGGCAAAUACUACUCUCAGUCAGUUCAAGGCCGGUUCACCAUCUCCAGAGACAACAGCAGACAGCAGCUGUAUCUGUAG